rnacentral:rRNA from 1 species
UUGGCCUACGGGAGGCAGCAGUGGGGAAUAUUGCACAAUGGGGGGAACCCUGAUGCAGCAACGCCGCGUGAGUGAAGAAGUAUUUCGGUAUGUAAAGCUCUAUCAGCAGGGAAGAAGAUGACGGUACCUGAGUAAGAAGCCCCGGCUAACUACGUGCCAGCAGACGAGGUAAUACGUAGGGGGCAAGCGUUAUCCGGAUUUACUGGGUGUAAAGGGAGCGUAGACGGCGAGGCAAGACUGGAGUGAAAGCUCGGGGCUC